CUUAUUAAUCAGCGCUGACCAGAGGCCCCUUUUGAAACAAGAGAAGAGGAGAGAGAGAGAGAGAGAGAGAGAGAGAGAGAGAGAGAGAGAGAGAGAGAGAGAGAGAGAGAGAGAGAGAGAGAGAGAGAGAAGGAGAGAGACAGACAGAGAGAGAGUGAGGUAAAAGAAGAUUGAGAAGCCCUGGACAGAUCUUUCUAAAGCCAGAUCAACCAUAGGGUACUUCCCUCCCGUGGCCAAAGUUUAUUUGGCACAACAAAGUUUUUAAUCAGGCCACAGAGACCUGGAUUUCUCUUCAUUUGUUUUACUUCCAGUCUCUCCCUCUGAAGAUGUUGGAGACUUUGUUGCAAGGAAGGAUGGCUUUAGGUCAUAUUGCUAAGGCCUGAUCUUAAAGAUCUAAUUGCUAUUGGAAGAGAAGCCUGUUUCCCAGCUGGGCCUCCACUCUGGAGAUGGUGCAAGGAAGACUGUCCACUCUGCUCUGGGCACCCUGCUGAUGGAUGAGGUGUCAGGCCAGUCGUCAUGUGAGGGACUGGUUUCCAAAUGCCCCCACUAACACCGCCCCCCACCGACACCCCGGGAUUGAACUCAGGACCUUGUGCUUGCCAGGCAGUUGCGGUGCCACUGAGCCAAAUCCCUGGACUUGCCACUACUUUACUCUUUCAGCAGCACCAGGGAUGAAUAUUAGGGCCUCAUGCAUGCCAGGCAAGCACUCUACCACUAUGCUAUAUACCCAGCCCAUUGUGAGUCCUUUAUCAGGAGCCUCUUGCUAUUUUUCCUCUUUACCUUCAGUUCGUGGCAAACAGCACAACACUUCAAAUGAACACUCAAGUCAGAGUAAGAGCAAUUAAAAAUUAAGGCAAGCUAGAUGUAUUGGGAAUCGAACUCGGAUCUUUGCUCUUGCGAGGCAGGUGGCAGAACCACUGAGACUCUAACUCAAUCAAAGAGCCUCAGGCCAUCUAAUCAAAUAGAAAAUGAAGUCUACAAAGACAGAGAGGAAACAGAGAGAUUGAUGAAACAGUACGAGGGAUUCACUCACCAGCAGAGCAGUUGAAGAAUGG
rnacentral:lncRNA from 1 species